rnacentral:rRNA from 1 species
GAUGAACGCUGGCGGCGUGCCUAAUACAUGCAAGUCGAGCGAACAGACGAGGAGCUUGCUCCUCUGACAUUAGCGGCGGACGGGUGAGUAACACGUGGAUAACCUACCUAUAAGACUGGGAUAACUUCGGGAAACCGGAGCUAAUACCGGAUAAUAUGUUGAAACGAAUGGUUUAAUAGUGAAAGACGGUUUUGCUGUCACUUAUAGAUGGACCCGCGCCGCAUUAGCCAGUUGGUAAGGUAACGGCUUACCAAGGCAACGAUGCGUAGCCGACCGGAGAGGGUGAUCGGGCACACUGGAACGGAGACACGGUCCAGACUCCUACGGGAGGCAGCAGUAGGGAAUCUUCCGCAAUGGGCGAAAGCCUGGCGGAGCAACGCCGCGUGAGUGAUGAAGGUCUUCGGAUCGUAAAACUCUGUUAUUAGGGAAGAACAAAUGUGUAAGUAACUAUGCACGUCUUGACGGUACCUAAUCAGAAAGCCACGGCUAACUACGUGCCAGCCGCCGCAGUAA